UGCAAGGGAAAACCAUCAAUGUCCUGAGAACGUUCUUUAAAGUAAGGGGUUUCUGAGAGCGCCAGGAUGGGGCCAUGAGAGAUGAGGAGGAAGAGGUGGCCGCAGGCAAGAAAUCACUGCUGUUGCCCAAAUGCCCAAAGUAAAAACACUAUAAAAUAUGUCAUGUAAAGAUGAAACCAUUUAGAAAAUAAUUUAGAGAAAUAAUUUACAAAGAAGGUGAAAUCCAGGACUUGCUGAGUUAAAGGCAGCAGGUCUCCCAAGCUGGUCAUUGCAGUGAAGUUUCCAGAAAUAGUCUGUGUACAUCUACAGCGGCCUCACAGCUGCCAGAGCAAGACAAAAAUCAGCUGUUGGAGAGAUUCUUUGACUAGAAGCUUCACAAAGAAGCAGAGCUGAGCUGUCCCCAGGCCUAGGAGUUGCUGGUUCCAAAACGUGCUUCCUUUGCCGCCACGCUUUCAGCAAAAGGAUCCCCCACGCCAUGCUUCGCUCGCCUCCCGUCUCGAUUCCAAAUUGAAGUCUCACACCGGAGCUGGGGGCAUGGCUGGUGGUAGGAGCACCUGGGCCUGGUUUGGUCGUGGCGAGGGAGCAUCGGAGACCAGGCUGAAGGAGGAUCGCACGGGAAAGCCAUAUUUGCAGGAAGCAGACAGUCUGUGAGGCUGGGGAUCAAAAAGAAGAAAAGAAGCUCUGUGUGCGAGCAGCUCUUUAGCUUCCAUUCUCUUUGGACUGGGAGGAAGAAAAGGAGCAGUGGCCAAAAAAUAAAGACCUCGUUCUCAAAAAGGGUGGAGAGAAAGAGAGAUAUCAACAGCCCAGCAGAGGAGUGAGCAAGUAACAUGGAGGGUUCCCAGAACGAAAAUGCAAAUGCUCUCAAAGACGGCCGAACAGUUUCAAUCUGACUCCUAAAAGAAAGGCAAAGGAAAACUGCAGUGACAUUUGUCACUUAUGAAAUCGGCAAAAUUCAAAAAUUGUGAAAGCAAGCUGUGUGAUCAACAUUAUGGGAAAAUAAACAGCCUCAUGUGUGUUGUAGGUGGGCAUGCCAACUGACACUAGCUCCGUGGAGAGCAAUCUGGCAAUGGCUCUCAACAUGGGAAAUCCUUUGACCCAACACUGCUGCUUCUAGCAAGUGAGAAAUGGUAUUUUUUUUAACAUCAAAAGUCUGGAAACAAUGUAAAUGUUCAUAACAGGGUUCUG
rnacentral:lncRNA from 1 species